AUGGUCGUAGCAGUUGCGAUAUGGAUCAUAGGAUUCUUUUCUGUUCGCCGCAGGAGUAUUUUACCUGUAAAGUUGCGAUGCCGAUCAAAAUGCUGCUUGUUUUCUCUUCUUCCCCACAUGGCCACGCCCACCGGAUCUUGGACUUCACACCUCUUUCCAUUAUUUUUAGUUCCCGUUGGAGCGUAUCUGUACGUCUGCACCUCAACAAGAAUGUUCUCUCACUGGUAUUUGAUUAAUACUACCACUAGUUUUUUGGAGAAUGUUUGGUAA
rnacentral:rRNA from 1 species